AACGAACGCUGGCGGCAUGCCUAACACAUGCAAGUCGAACGACACCUUCGGGUCUAGUGGCGCAUGGGUGUGUAACGUGUGGGAACCUGCCCUUAUGCUCGGAAUUAUACUCUUAAGGGGGGGCUAACAUCGGGAAACUUCCUCUGAUACAAGAUAUAUCGUCCUUGGAUGAGCCGGCGAUGUUUUAGCCUGUCGGUAGGGUAAAAGCCUACGACGGCUACGAUCCAUAGCUGGUUUGAGAGGAUGGUCAGCCACACUGGGGCUCAGAUACGGCCCAGACUCCUGCGGGAGGCAGCAGUGGGGAAUAUUGGACUAUGGGCGAAAGCCUGAUCCAGUAAUGCCGCGUGAGUGAUGAAGGCGUUAGGGAUGUAAAGCUCUUUUACCCGGGAUGAUAAUGACAGUACCGGGAGAAUAAGCACCGGCUAACUCCGUG
rnacentral:rRNA from 1 species